rnacentral:rRNA from 1 species
UACGGGGGGGGGCAAGCGUUGUUCGGAAUUACUGGGCGUAAAGGGCUCGUAGGUGGCCAACUAAGUCGGACGUGAAAUCCCUCAGCUUAACUGGGGAACUGCGUCCGAUACUGGAUGGCUUGAGUUUGGGAGAGGGAUGCGGAAUUCCAGGUGUAGCGGUGAAAUGCGUAGAUAUCUGGAGGAACACCGGUGGCGAAGGCGGCAUCCUGGACCAACCACUGACACUGAGGAGCGAAAGCCAGGGGAGCAAACGGG